rnacentral:rRNA from 1 species
GUCUACGGCCGUGCCACCCUGAACAAGCCCAAUGUGAGAUCUCGGAAGCUAAGCAGGGUUGGGCCUGGUUAGUACUUGGAUGGGAGACCACCUGGGAAGACCAGGUGCUGUAGGCA